UACGUAGGGGGCUAGCGUUGUCCGGAUUUAUUGGGCGUAAAGAGCGUGUAGGCGGCCACGCAGGUCCGUUGUGAAAACUGGAGGCUCAACCUCCAGCUGUCGACGGAAACCGUGUGGCUAGAGUCCGGAAGAGGAGAGUGGAAUUCCUGGUGUAGCGGUGAAAUGCGCAGAUAUCGGGAAGAACACCCGUGGCUAAGGCGGCUCUCUAGUACGGUACUGACGCUGAGACGCGAAAGCGUGGGGAGCGAACAGG
rnacentral:rRNA from 1 species